AUUCUUCUCUUCUUGGCCUUGUAGAGCAGCCACAAAAGACAAGGGCUGGGCCCUGGGACAGGCCCAGAAGCUCUGGCCCACCUCCCUAUCCAUGAAGGGGGUACCAGGUCUUACUGUACCUUCUUCACAAGCCCCUCAGCACACAGUCUGAGCAAGCAGCCCCCAAAUCCCAACUUGAACCCAGGGGCCUACGGGAGCAAAGGCAGCCCCACCAGCUACAGAACAUGUGGCAUAAUGCACCCAAUGUUAAAAAGAAAUGGGCCAAACUAGGAGUCCAGAGGGAAGCCCCAGUCUUGGGUUCCCCCAAAAACUCGUAUAGCGUUGGCCCAGAGACACAAAGGACAAUGGCUUCUGCCCUCAGAGACACUGAGCCUUCCUCACAUCGCCAUGAUGUCAGUUACACAGUAGGUAAUGUAUGAACUGUGUGGUCCCCACUCACCCUUAACACUGAGAAUCUAAAGUGACCCUUGGCAUACAGGGAACACGGACUGUGCCCAGCCAGGACUGACCUCUUCAGGCCUCCGAUUCUGGCUCAGAGCAGCAGAGACCAAUUUCGUCAAGGCCUUCGUCUGGACAAGGGCUCACGCGACGCUACCCAGCCUGCGUGGCCCGCCCGGACCGUGAAGGGACAGUCCUCCCGGCUGCCUCUGGCCCCUACUCGGCCGCUAGGGUUCUCGCCACAGUCCUGCCCUCAACCAUAAUGAAUGGAGGAAUGAACACGGCCGAGGUCCUGGAUUCUCGCUCAGCCUCGUCUCUGCCAGUGUGUCCUGGGCCAGAGGCGGAGCCCCAGCCCCAUCCCCUUCAACCGGAGGGACCUCAGAAUUGUUGGUGUUUCCACGGGCCCCCUCCGGGACAAUGACUUUUGCUCAGCUGGUCCCCUGAAGCAUCCCCUCCAAUCUCCGUGAUGUCUGUUUCAAAGUACAUAAUGCUGGACUUGGCUGCCCCCCCCCUCUAUUGACCAAGAAAGUUCUAGAGGAUGGCAUUCCGCGCAUCUCUACCAGACCUCGCCGGUUGCCCUUCGCGGAUGGCCACAGGAGCGGAAAACCCCACCCGAUGCUCCGCUUGCUUCCGGGGGGCUCAUUCAGGACAUCCCCUGAAAUGCUCCCAGCCUUUGGCAAGAGAAGAAAGGAGGCAAAAUCCAGUUUCUGAGCCACAGGCAGACCCACGUCAUCUUCUCAAUGAAGAACUUGGAAUUGAUGGUGUUGACAUGAGGUCCUGCAGGACAGUGCCCUCUGUCCACCUCGGCUCUGAGCCAUCCCCAGAAGGCUCCAUGAUGUCAGCUGCAAAACAGUCAACAAUCACAUGUACCCACCCCUAAACACUGAGACCCUAAAGUGACUCUUGUAAUCCAAGAGAUGAGUUUUGGCACCAAUCUAGGCCAAUAUCCUUUGACUUUCCCCUGAGUCCCCUGAACAGACUUCGACGAGGGCUUUCUCUUGAUCAGCUCUCCCCAGAUCCUCACAACCUCCAGGACCCUCCUUUUGAAAGCGGAGCCCAUUGUCCUGGUUCUCUCCCCUCUUGAUUGUUACUUACAGUGGAGACUUGUUCGGACACUUUUCGAAACAAUCAUAAUUAGGUAAUCCCUGAUGACCUCAGUAUAAAAAAUGGGUCACAGCUUGUGCAGGGGCCUGGUGCACCUGUGUGUGUGGUCUUGGGGUGAUGACAUGGAUGCCAGGCACACAGGGGAAUGUGCCCCUCCACCCUCCACAUUUUCUUCUGUCCUCAUUUUCCAUUUCAUUUUUCUCCUGUUUUAUAUGGAAAUUCUCCUAUAAUUACUAAAGUCUCUUGUAGCUCCCUGUGCCUGAUCAGGGGAUCCUGGCAUGGAGGUAGACUUUAUGACAAAUAAGAAAAGCAAAUGAAGAGGCAGAUGCUGCCACCUUCUAUCACCCCCCACUGAAAAUAUCGAAACAUUUGGCCGGUGCGGAUAUUAGAGACAAAGCAGGACACCUUGUACCCUGGGUGAAAGGGACGUGGGUGCCCAUUGGGUGGGGACUUGUCUGCGUAGCUGCAGGGCCAGCAAGACUGCCAGAGGAAAAAGCAUCUUACAAUAUAGGGAAUCUGUAUGUGUCAUUUCCUUCUGGAUCUAGGAUUCCUGGCAUUCUACUAAAUGCCAAAUCCCAUUGCCAUCAUUUGGGACUAACAUUGAACACUUGAAAACGUAGAUAAGAUGAAGAAAAACAAGAGUUCAUGGCUUUCUUUCAUUUGUCUCUCUCCAGAGUGUCUUCCAUGUACAGACUGGUUCGCGCUCACCCUUAACCCUGAGUGAAUGAAUUGAAGUGGCGUACUCGGACGCGGACUGUGCCCAGGCAGGACUGACCUCUUUAGGCCUCUGAUUCUGGCUCAGAGCAGCAGAGACCAAUUUCCUCAAGGCCUUCCUCUGGACAAGGGCUCAUGGGACCCAACCAAGUCUUCAUAGCCCGCCCAGACUGUGGUGAGACAGUCCUCCUGGCUGCUUCCAGCCUGUACGCAGCGGGGCACGUCCCCCAUGCCCACGUACCCCCACAUGCCACUAUGUUUCUCACUAGAGUCCUGCAAUCAUCAGGAUGAGAGUUUGAAAGCAGACUAGUGUCUGGAUUGUUACUCAGUAUCCUGUCUCUGCCAGGUAAGGAUUCAGGGAGUCUGGCCUCUGGGAUUCCCCCAACCCCCAGGUAGGAUCUAUGAGGGAGUCCUGACCAGGCCUUGGGAACAGGAGGUAGGAGCCUGGCUCGUGAUCUUCAAAUGAGGAUGUGUGGACACUUACUCUCUCCCUCCUGCUUCCUGAUCCAUUAUCCCACCCAGACCAGAAUGGAAAACCACUGCUCUGUUCAAUCCCUUCCUCAUUUUGAAUGAGGUGCAGGAGGGGUGACUUUGGCCCUUUCUUGGUAGCCCUCCAUGUCUGUCAUUUGCUUCCUGUGAGGGGUUUUUGCUCUGCUGAUUACCCUUCUGAUUACCCUUCCCAGAACUGUUGCCAGAAGAACGAGAUUCCUUGUCUUCAUCCUCAGUGCUGAGCUCCCAUUAAAGGUUCAGCUGUGGAUUAUCCUUGUGGUCACCCUGGCACCUAAACACAGGAAGAUCCUGGGUGGCAACUGAGGGGGGGAAGACCAACCUGGCCGUAUGCUUAGAGACGGAGCCCCUGGCUUUAUUUCGAAGAAAAAACUCCUUUGGCCCUGGUAGCAGGGGAACUUUUCUGUUCCUGUGGGCAGCUGUGGCCUGGGGAAGUGAGAGGGGCGAUGUGCCCCUGCUGCAGUGGCACUUUCUCUCUGUGAUCAUCAUACCUGAAUGAUUGCUGGUGUCUUUGAUGGAAAUUCUCCCCAACUGCUACCAAAAGACUAGCAGUUUGUGGUUUCUUCCCAUUCUUAUGUGUUCUGCUGGGAAGUAGGAAGCGCCCCUCAUCAUCGGCUGACCUGCAUACGUUUCCUUAUACAGAGUGAUCUCUUGGCAAUAAU